UACGUAGGUGGCAAGCGUUGUCCGGAUUUACUGGGCGUAAAGGGCGUGCAGGCGGUUUGUUAAGUGCAGGGUGAAAGCUCCCGGCUCAACUGGGAGAGGUCCUUGCAUACUGGCAAACUCGAGGGAGGCAGAGGAAAGUGGAAUUCCCGGUGUAGUGGUGAUAUGCGUAGAUAUCGGGAAGAACACCCGUGGCGAAGGCGGCUCUCUGGGACGGUACUGACGCUGAGACGCGAAAGCGUGGGGAGCGAACAGG
rnacentral:rRNA from 1 species